rnacentral:tRNA from 1 species
GCCUCUUUAGCUCAGUUGGUAGAGCAGCUGAUUCGUAAUUAGCAGGUCGGCGGUUCGAGUCCGCUGAGAGGCU